CCUANGGGUGGCAGCAGUGGGGAAUUUUGCGCAAUGGGCGAAAGCCUGACGCAGCAACGCCGCGUGCGGGAUGAAGGCUCUCGGGUCGUAAACCGCUUUCAGCAGGGAUGAAACUGACAGUACCUGCAGAAGAAGCCCCGGCUAAAUACGUGCCAGCAGCCGCGGUAAUACGUAUGGGGCAAGCGUUAUCCGGAUUCAUUGGGCGUAAAGAGCGCGUAGGCGGAUUGUUAAGCGCGAUGUGAAAACUGGGGGCUCAACCCGCAGCCUGCAUCGCGAACUGGCAGUCUUGAGUCUGGUAGAGGAGUGUGGAAUGCCCAGUGUAGCGGUGAAAUGCGCAGAUAUUGGGAGGAACACCAGUGGCGAAGGCGGCACUCUGGGCCACGACUGACGCUGAGGCGCGAAAGCUAGGGGAGCAAACAGGAUUAGAUACCCUUNUUNUC
rnacentral:rRNA from 1 species